rnacentral:rRNA from 1 species
ACAUGCAAGUCGAGCGGAGAUGAGGUGCUUGCACCUUAUCUUAGCGGCGGACGGGUGAGUAAUGCUUAGGAAUCUGCCUAUUAGUGGGGGACAACAUUCCGAAAGGAAUGCUAAUACCGCAUACGUCCUACGGGAGAAAGCAGGGGAUCUUCGGACCUUGCGCUAAUAGAUGAGCCUAAGUCGGAUUAGCUAGUUGGUGGGGUAAAGGCCUACCAAGGCGACGAUCUGUAGCGGGUCUGAGAGGAUGAUCCGCCACACUGGGACUGAGACACGGCCCAGACUCCUACGGGAGGCAGCAGUGGGGAAUAUUGGACAAUGGGGGGAACCCUGAUCCAGCCAUGCCGCGUGUGUGAAGAAGGCCUUAUGGUUGUAAAGCACUUUAAGCGAGGAGGAGGCUACUGAGACUAAUACUCUUGGAUAGUGGACGUUACUCGCAGAAUAAGCACCGGCUAACUCUGUGCCAGCAGCCGCGGUAAUACAGAGGGUGCGAGCGUUAAUCGGAUUCACUGGGCGUAAAGCGUGCGUAGGCGGCUUUUUAAGUCGGAUGUGAAAUCCCCGAGCUUAACUUGGGAAUUGCAUUCGAUACUGGGAAGCUAGAGUAUGGGAGAGGAUGGUAGAAUUCCAGGUGUAGCGGUGAAAUGCGUAGAGAUCUGGAGGAAUACCGAUGGCGAAGGCAGCCAUCUGGCCUAAUACUGACGCUGAGUACGAAAGCAUGGGGAGCAAACAGGAUUAGAUACCCUGGUAGUCCAUGCCGUAAACGAUGUCUACUAGCCGUUGGGGCCUUUGAGGCUUUAGUGGCGCAGCUAACGCGAUAAGUAGACCGCCUGGGGAGUACGGUCGCAAGACUAAAACUCAAAUGAAUUGACGGGGGCCCGCACAAGCGGUGGAGCAUGUGGUUUAAUUCGAUGCAACGCGAAAACCUUACCUGGCCUUGACAUACUAGAAACUUUCCAGAGAUGGAUUGGUGCCUUCGGGAAUCUAGAUACAGGUGCUGCAUGGCUGUCGUCAGCUCGUGUC